UACGGAGGGGGCUAGCGUUGUUCGGAAUCACUGGGCGUAAAGCGCGCGUAGGCGGAUAGUUAAGUCGGUGGUGAAAGCCCGGAGCUCAACUCCGGAACUGCCUCCGAUACUGGCUGUCUUGAGUCCGGGAGAGGUGAGUGGAAUUCCCAGUGUAGAGGUGAAAUUCGUAGAUAUUGGGAAGAACACCAGUGGCGAAGGCGGCUCACUGGCCCGGUACUGACGCUGAGGUGCGAAAGCGUGGGGAGCAAACAGG
rnacentral:misc_RNA from 1 species